UCCUGGCUCAGGACGAACGCUGGCGGCGUGCUUAACACAUGCAAGUCGAACGGGGAUAGCGUUGGAAGUCCUUCGGGGUGGAAGAUGCUAUUCGAGUGGCGGACGGGUGAGUAACGCGUGAACAAUCUAUCCCAGACAGGGGGAUAACACUUGGAAACAGGUGCUAAUACCGCAUAAGACCACGGUGUCGCAUGGCACAGGGGUAAAAGGAGCGAUCCGGUUUGGGGUGAGUUCGCGUCCGAUUAGCCAGUUGGCGGGUAACGGCCCACCAAAGCGACGAUCGGUAGCCGAUCUGAGAGGAUGACCGGCCACAUUGGAACUGAGAGACGGUCCAAACUCCUACGGGAGGCAGCAGUGGGGAAUAUUGGGCAAUGGGCGAAAGCCUGACCCAGCAACGCCGCGUGAGUGAAGAAGGCCUUCAGGUUGUAAAGCUCUGUUAUAGGGGACGAAGUGCGCGACGGUACCCUAUAAGGAAGCCCCGGCUAACUACGUGCCAGCCGCAGC
rnacentral:rRNA from 1 species